GCCGUGAUCGUCUAGUGGUUAGGACAUUGCGCCUCGGCCGCAAUAACCCUGGUUCGAAUCCUGGUCUCGGCA
rnacentral:tRNA from 1 species